CUCUCCUCAUCACUCUUCACGUCACAAACACAAACAAAAGCCUCACGAACACGAGCAGAAGCUUUCUCUCUCCCAAAAUCGCCUUCGUCUUCUCAUUUUCUCUGAAAUCUCAAGGAACGAAGCCACUCCAUUCUCGCCGUCGCCGCCGCCAUCUUCUUCCUCCUCUUCUCGUCAUCGCCGCUGACGGAAAGUCUGGAAAUGACCUUGAGCUUGUGCUCGGGCUCGCCCUGCCUCUCUCGCUGCCCUCACUCCUCCUCCCUCCACCUCUCCCGAUGCUGCUCCCCGAGCACCACCAACAUCGCCCUGCUGUCCAUUCUCCUCUGCAGCAGCGGCGGCAGCAGCCACUGCCCGCCGGCUCCGCGCCAUCUCCGGGAUUCGGCGGCUCCUCCCCCCGCUGUCUCGCGGUGCUCCUCCUUCGAGUGUAGGGCCUCGCUGAGCGAGAGCAAGAGCAGCGUCGCCGGCGAGCCGUCGUCCUCCUCCUCGGUGGUUUUGAGCAACGAGGUGGUCAGCGAAGCGUCCGGCGCUGGGGACGCUGACGAGGUGCUGCGUAUCAUCGCGGAGAAGGCCGGCGGGAGGGCAUGGCGUGGUCGGUGUGUCGGAUUGCUGCUCGAUUAUGGCCGCAGCGCUUGAGCGCGGCAAUGCCAGGUUGGCUCUGUCCGUGUUCUACGCCAUGCGCGCAACUUUCGAUCAAGGUCCAGGUGAAGACGGUAUUUAUGUCGACCGGUGGAGAUGGUCCAGGCCUGACGUGCGCUUAUACACACUGUUAGUUCAGGUCUUGCAGCAUCACUAAGGGUUUCUGAUGCUCUAAGUGUGAUUGAUAUCAUAUGCCAAGUAGGGGUUUCUCCCGGUGUGGAGGUAAAAUCCUACUGUUUCUUGCCUUAAAAUUUAAAAGCUGUUUUGGCUGCCAAUUAUGCAUGCAUUUGCCUUAGAAAACUGUUACUUGGAUAAUUGUUGGUAGUUUUCCUACCGACCCCGCACUACCUGGAAUUUUUUUGCUUCUAGCAGGUCCCUUUCGGGAAGGUUGUGAGAUGUCCAAGUUGUAUGGUAGCUGUCGCUGUUGCACAACCGCAAGAUGGUAUUCAAAUUGUUUCCUGUGCCACCUGCCGUUACAAGUAUGAGCUAUUUUCCGGUGACAUUAUUAGUAUUUACUCCGAAGAGAUCAGGGUCUCCUCCUGCCGAACGCAGCAUGGAUGUUCCAGCAUGGAAACGGGGGCUAAGAUUUUGGAAUCUGAUCUUUGAUCUGCAAAACACGAGCUAAUGUAUCGAGUCACACUACAUUGGAAGUACUAAAACAUGAACUUUCCGCUGUUUCGCAGGUUACGGAAAAUGUGUCUAUUCCACGCCGGGGUAAGUUUGCUUACCGUUAAAAUCGCUCGCUUCCUCGUGCUCCGCUCGAUUAGCUCGGUGCUUGUUCACAUCGUGUUUCUCGUUCUUUACAGCUUGGCCUCGCCCGCGCCGCCAUGACCCGAGCACGACUCGAGCCUCUUCGGCAUCAAGAUAGUGGGGAUUCUGCUGUUGUUGCUGCUGUGAGAUCAGAUCAAGCUGCCAAAAAGAUAAUGCACAAUCACCUCCAAGUGAUUGUGCUGUGGUGUUUAAUGUCUAUUACUAUCGGGAUCGGCUCAAUUUUGUUCGCGUGAAUUUCUGUUUUGGCCAUCUAAUAUUUGUUUGCACAUAUGCAUCAUCAUCUGUUUUCGCAUCUUUUCUUGUUCAGAUGAAAAGGGUGAUACCAAA